UGUGAAAACGUUUCGUUCUUGCAAAAAAGGCCCUGCAGUUUGGGGUAUUCAACCCGCGUUCCGACCACACACAGAGCACGGGCGCCUCCUCUCCUUCUCGCCCGAGGAAGUCCUCGCCGCCGCCAGCACCCACGCCGCCUGCUUCCGGCGAGCUCCGGUGCCGCGCAGCACGCCCCCGAGCUCCCCGCGGUCUGCGCCUCCCUCUCCUCCUUCCAGAUUCUCUGCUCUCGGCCUCUACCGCCCGCUUGCAACCCCACCCGGCCCCGUGGCUAGGGUUUCUGGCAGGGCUUCGCCGGCACGUCUCCGGCGGCCCCAGGUUCGUCUCCUUCCUUUCGGUCAAGUCUUGGUGGAGGUGGGGCGGCGACUUGGUUGUGGAGGAAGGGAGCAUGGGGCGGCGUCAAGUGGGUGGAGCACGCGCUUCGCUGCGAGGGUGGAAGAAAAGCAUGGCGGAUACGGUUGCGUCGUGUAGGCGGGGGAGAAGGACGGCCAUGCGACCCUAUCAUCCUCUGGGUGGUGGUCUUCGUGCUCCAUGUGGAGACUAGGUGGAGCACAGACAACUGUUGUGGCUGAAGGUGCUGGGGCUGACGAGCUCCUGCCCCUACUGUAUGUGGAUUGGGAUGGAUGGGCACUGGGGUGAUUUGGGGAUCUGGCUGCUAAUGCUGCGAUAAAUCGUUGUAGCGAUUUUGUGUGAUCUUGGGCCGCUGGCUGUACCUUAUCUCUUGUGGUUGGCCAGGCAGCCACUAUUCCCAGUGGUCGUGUCGCUGUUAUCUGCUGCACAUCUUUAUAUGGAUGUAGCCUACGAAGAAUAGGAACAAUCACUACAGAGCCCGAAGAUUGUUUGUAUUUCUUUCAUUGUCUUUCACUGAUCUAUCAUUAUUUGAUUGGUCCAUGUAGAUUUAGAUAACAUGAGAUGAGCUGAUGAUACGUACUACUAUCUGAUGACACGAUUAUCUACUGCAGAAUUGUUGAUGUAUUUGUGCUGACAGGUUUUGCGAGUACUUGAAACACAUCCAUUAGAGGAAUUAGAGUUACGAAGUUCUGACCUGGUUCUUGGGGCAAUCUGAAAGAGAACUUGGUGAUUUCAAGUAAUUCUAAGAGCAUAGGCCUUAUCCUUAUUUUUAAAUAAUGGUAAGAGCAUAGAUCUCAUGGACCAGGAAUUAAUCCAUCAGGCAAGCAGAAGACUGAACGAAACAGUACCUACACAUAUUAUUUCCAAGAUGAUUAAUAUUGUUUUCUUUACUGUAAGGAACCAGCUUAAUUAAGGCCUUUAUGCAUUGAACAAACUACCAAGAUUUUGUAUCUUUCUGUAUGAUUCAUAUUGCAUAGACACAUGAGUAGCGAUGGGAUACUAUUUGGUAUGAACAACAUCAUCAUCUUGUAAUUCUAACAUGUAUGCACUUAACUUAUUUAUGCACAUAAUAGUGAUGCGUCUUCCGUAUCUGUCUAUUGUAUCUGAAUCUUCAAUGCAAUUAACUGCUUAAUUUGCCUUCAACGGGAUUGAGUGAUCUGGCAUAUAAGCUUAGCUCAGUGGUUCAGGUUAUCACUGUUAGUUUUCUGGUCGUGUAAGUUUUUAGACUUCUUGAGGUAGCUCAACCAAUAUGGCAUAAAGCUAUGAAGGGAUUUUGCUUGGAAAGAUUACUGAAAGGAUAACUUAACUUCAUUUUAUCCCCUAGAUUAGUAUAAGUAUAUAUUAGGCCCUCAUUUAUUUAGAUGUAUACCUUGCAUGGCAGUCUUGUUUAAACAGAUUUUUGGGGCAUUAAGCAAUUCAUACUUUGCUCACCAUUAUUCCCAUGUGUGUUGUUAGCCAAGCACUUGCUUUUCAAUAUAUCCUUUCCGAUGUUAGGCUGGGCUGCGCGAUUCUUCAGUGGCUGCUCAAUACAGUUGUGGUGAUCCGGGCGACGAGGAUAUUAGGGACAUCGGCCCGGCGAAGUAUGGUGCGUCAGCUAUGAAGCCAGAUCCGCAGGCACCAGGGACCAGGGUGGAUCAAGAGAGUUCUUGUGGAAGCGAAUCCGACAGAGCGAACCCUAUGCCUCAUUAGCAUGGGUACUCUUGAGAAGUCCAUAAUGGUUUUUGCAGAGGGCGCCGACAGAGGCAUACGACUUUUACAGCCUGUAUUAGUGGGAAAAUGGGUUUAGUAUCAGGCAUGGGAAGAGCCGAUUGAAUCCUGCAAGCGGAGGACCAUGCAGGAGACUGUUUGUGGUUGCUCAGGGGAUGCUUUGCGUGAGAAUACAAGGUCGUGCCGCUAUGAGUGUCCUGCGAUAAUAAGGCUGCUACGGACAUUAGAUAAUGGGGGGGGGGUACAUAACGGAGCACCGGGUAGAGCAUAACAAUGUUAUGACGCCAGGAGAGAUGUUGCACUGGCCACCGCACAUACACAUUGAUGUGUACAUGGGGGACCUGGUGCGGGCUGCGGGAAUCAUCCGUGGCCGCGCAUUACAGUGGCGGCAGGGUGGAUAAUGAUGGCAUUAGGGACAGUGCCUCGCGGAGUCCGAGGAGUCUGGAGUGAAACCAGAUUCCCGAGCACCCGGUAGACUAAGAGGUAUAUCGGAUAACUUAGCAGAAUCUGUGUUUUGGCUGACAACACUGAGGUUAGGGUGCGUCUUCACGGGAAGGAAAUUGAAAAAGUCAGUGCCAGAUUUAAACCGCCAUGUGGGGGAAGGUGCUGCGAUGAAAUUCCGUGUUGUUAGGUGCCCGCCUAACUGGCUAAUUUGAAAAUGUUGUAUAGUUAGCAGUGGCUGUCAUUUGUGAUUUUUGUUCGGAAAAACCUAGGAUGCAUUGUGGGGUGUGGGAAAACAAAUCAUUUUUAUUUCAUGUAAUUUAUGUCAAACCGUACCAUGGCAGCAAUAAUUUAAGAACUGUAGGAAAAUGAGAGUUGACUUGGAAUUCUGAAGUGUAUCAAUGACGAUCCUGUGAUUAUCAGAUUAUUAAUGUAUUCCUUGUGCCAUAAAAUUUCUGCCGAUGCAACUGUGAGCUCAGGGGCAAUUUAUUUUAUAUUUUUAUAUAGUUGCAAUAAAAUGCUACGGUUACCCGUUGGCUUGCAGGCCUGAUUAGUGAUGAAUAUUGUUACUCAAUUAAAAUGA